rnacentral:rRNA from 1 species
UGAACGCUGACAGAAUGCUUAACACAUGCAAGUCGAUGGGGAAGUGGUGCUUGCACCAUGGUAACCAUGGCGGACGGGUGAGUAACGCGUAAGGAACUUGCCUGCGGGACUGGGAUAACAGCAGGAAACUGCUGAUAAUACCGGAUAAGGUCAUUAAGCUGCAUAGCUUAGUGAUGAAAGGAGACGCCUGCGGAGAGCCUUGCGUCCUAUUAGCUAGUUGGAGGGGUAACGGCCCACCAAGGCGAAGAUAGGUAGCCGGCCUGAGAGGGUGGACGGCCACAAGGGGACUGAGAUACGGCCCUUACUCCUACGGGAGGCAGCAGUGGGGAAUAUUGGACAAUGGGGGCAACCCUGAUCCAGCAAUUCUGUGUGCACGAAGACGGUUUUCGGAUUGUAAAGUGCUUUCAGCAGGGAAGAAGGAAGUGACGGUACCUGCAGAAGAAGCGACGGCUAAAUACGUG